AUGAACGCUGGCGGCGUGCCUAAUACAUGCAAGUCGAGCGAACAGACGAGGAGCUUGCUCCUCUGACGUUAGCGGCGGACGGGUGAGUAACACGUGGAUAACCUACCUAUAAGACUGGGAUAACUUCGGGAAACCGGAGCUAAUACCGGAUAAUAUAUUGAACCGCUUGGUUCAAUAGUGAAAGACGGUUUUGCUGUCACUUAUAGAUGGAUCCGCGCCGCAUUAGCUAGUUGGUAAGGUAACGGCUUACCAAGGCAACGAUGCGUAGCCGACCUGAGAGGGUGAUCGGCCACACUGGAACUGAGACACGGUCCAGACUCCUACGGGAGGCAGCAGUAGGGAAUCUUCCGCAAUGGGCGAAAGCCUGACGGAGCAACGCCGCGUGAGUGAUGAAGGUCUUCGGAUCGUAAAACUCUGUUAUUAGGGAAGAACAAAUGUGUAAGUAACUAUGCACGUCUUGACGGUACCUAAUCAGAAAGCCACGGCUAACUACGUG
rnacentral:rRNA from 1 species